rnacentral:rRNA from 1 species
CCUACGGGAGGCAGCAGUGGGGAAUAUUGGACAAUGGGGGGAACCCUGAUCCAGCCAUGCCGCGUGUGUGAAGAAGGCCCUCGGGUUGUAAAGCACUUUCAGUGAGGAAGAACGCCUGGUGGUUAAUACCCAUCAGGAAAGACAUCACUCACAGAAGAAGCACCGGCUAACUCCGUGCCAGCAGCCGCGGUAAUACGGAGGGUGCGAGCGUUAAUCGGAAUUACUGGGCGUAAAGCGCGCGUAGGUGGCUUGAUAAGCCGGUUGUGAAAGCCCCGGGCUCAACCUGGGAACGGCAUCCGGAACUGUCAAGCUAGAGUGCAGGAGAGGAAGGUAGAAUUCCCGGUGUAGCGGUGAAAUGCGUAGAGAUCGGGAGGAAUACCAGUGGCGAAGGCGGCCUUCUGGACUGACACUGACACUGAGGUGCGAAAGCGUGGGUAGCAAACAGGAUCAGAUACCCUUGUAGUC